UAUCUUUAUUUAACAGCUGAUGUGUGACUUAAUCAUCUGAGAUCUGAUGCCAUGGACCAAGAAAUAGAAAGCAGGAUUUGAAAUUGACUUCAACAUGCACCAGAUAGGAAGGACAUUGAAAUCUGUAGCUGAAGAAGAGAUGAACCGAAUCUGCUGCCAUUAGCUGAAUGCCACUCUACUGACAACCAGGGGGAG